GUGUGUGUGGAAGUGUGCGCGCGAGGGUGCCGACGGGCGGGUAGCGGCGGGUGGGCGCCCGCGCCCCGGCGAGAACCCGGUUAAGGGGCGAGGAUGGGGGUUCACCCCUGGGCCUGGAGCGCGCGGCUUCGGGAGAGGCUGGCGGGAAGCCGGGCCGCGCGGCGCGCGCCGGGGAAUCGAUGAUUCGGCCUGUGGGCCGGGUCACUGCGGCGGGGCUGGGGGAGCGCCGAUGUCAUGGAUAGGCUCCGAGGGGCGCGGGGCUUUGGCGGCUCCUGGCGCUUGCCUCGCCCACCGCCAUUUCACGUCCUCCUAGAGGAGGCGGGGAGGCGGCCGCGGACAGGAUUUUUAACCGGCCCCCACCUCCCCGUACAAGGUCAAGACAUAAGAACUGUCAUCUCCUUCCCUAGCACCAUGUCUGCCUGCAUGCUGCCUUGCUUCUCACCAUGACAAUAAUGAACUAAACCUCUGAACUGCUCGCUCCGUGUUCUGUUCAUGUGACUCUCACCCUGCUGUGGCCUGUACUCCAGUCACUGACACAAGGCAAGUCCGGGCUGAUGUAGAAAGUCCCUACUCAGCUAGCCAUGACUUUGGAGAAAGCCCCUGACCUCUGAGUGGACAGAAGACCUGGAUGUCAGCGCGUGGGAGCCCUGGAACCUGCAUUGCUGGGACAGCUCCAAAAGACUAGGAAGCACAGGCUUGUCAUACCUGGAGAAUAAGAGCAUGCCUGCCACACUGUGGCCCUCUCUGCGGGAAGGGAGAGGCUAGGAGGAAACCUGGUGGGUGGGGUUAUGGCUGGGACUCCUGGAAUUCUCAGGGCAGUUGCCAGGCUCUGCUUAGAGACUAUGAUAGGGCGGGGCCUCCAUGCUGAGGGUGAGCAAAUUCUCCCUUGCUCUACGAGGAGGAAAGAAAGAACUAUCAGAAUUGUGAGUCUGUGGCCCAUGACAGAGCCGUUUCACCUCUGCAGAGAAGUGUGCACAUGGUGCCAAACGAAGUCUGUAAAGACAAGGGAUGCAGCAAAGACUCGAGACAGAAUGUCUCUGGGUUCAAAAUGCAUUGUGUAUCUGGACAAUGAACACGCUGUCUUUUCACAAAUAAUGGGGAAGUGCCACGCGAACUGAAGUGGAAACAGCUCCGAAUAUAUUAGUUUAAAAAAAAAAAUAAAAGAGCCACCUGGCUGGCUGUGAUGUAAGACUGUACAUGUGUGUCAUCUCCUAGAAACUAGAAUAGUAGUCAUCUGUAGGCAGGGAGCAGGGGGAUUCACUUUCCAGAACGGCCUGAGCCUUUCCUAAUGUGUACCGAGUGUGUAUCUGUCUACCGGACUCCUUGUUAGAAUACCAUUGACCUGGUGUUCACAACAAUUAAGAACCAAUGCCAACCGUGACUCCCACUCCACCUCCAGAAGCCCGUGAACUCCCCAGAAUACAAAAGACAAAACAGAGUGCCUAUUGGCUGGCUGAGCUGCAAACAGAGGCUAGGUACCGAACAACUGCCAGAGUGAAUGGCCCCCACAGUGAACGGCCACAGUCAGGAACCAUAGACCCUCUGUUCCAGCUCCAGAGACAGCAGCCUUCCUCGUGGAAGUCUCGCUCACCCACUUCGGCCGAGAACUGCAAUUGCUGUUUCCAGCUCUUGUGUUUGCAUUCCCUGUUCUUUUUUCUUUUUGUGAGAGAGGGUAUCAACUGCACCAGUCAUAUCCAUGACUGCCCCGGAACUACACAUAGACCAGGUUGGCCUUGAUGUAGCCUCUGCCUCCUGAGUGUG